ACAUUUCUUCUUGUUCCUAUCCAGGUCUAUCCAGGAAUCUUUGGGCAGAGAGAGCCAAAAAAAAAAAAGUGUAAAUCGAGGAGCAUUAAAACCACAUAAUAUAAAAGACGGAAAGGAAAAUAGACCACAAGUUGUGGAUCAGGUGCAGGGGCACGUGGAACCGGCGACGUGAGCUUUACUCUGCACUUUACGACACGUCAGGUCGCACUGGCCGCCGGUCAGCCCACCUUUCGACGCGUGUCUCCACCGAUCCAAAUCCAGAAUAUAGAAAGCAAGUGGUUCCCACGCGGCCGCCUUGCCGCCACUAGAAAAUGCUUUAUUCCACAUACAAAAUGCAGCCGAGACAAUUGCUGCCACUCGUUACAUAUGUUUACCGAUUUUAAUUUGUGGUCGGCGUGAAGCAUCAUCGCAGCCGUUGGAAGAAAAACUGGCGGUGGAUCACAU
rnacentral:lncRNA from 1 species